rnacentral:rRNA from 1 species
UGCAACCCUCGGAGUAGUUAGGUCACCCGCCUAAUCAUUCCAUAUCAAUAACCGGAGACAAAAAUUUUUUAAAAA